rnacentral:lncRNA from 1 species
UUAUUAAAUGGGUCGGGUCCGGGUCAACACGAUUUUUUUCCGUGUCGGGUUAGGGUUAAAAUUCUUGACCCAUUUACCCGAUCAAUGACCCGAUUAUAUUUUCUAUUUUAAAAUAAUUUACAUAUUCUUAUCAUUAAAACUCAAAUAUUAGAGAUGAUUUUCUUUUUUUUUUAUUCUUUAAAAGGGUGAAUAUAAACACAAUGUUUUAUUUAUAAAAUUUUAA